rnacentral:misc_RNA from 1 species
GGGAAAAAAAAAAAUCAUUGUUUAGCAUUCAAUUCCCUUGACAAGAAAACAAAUGCCUUCUUAAAUGAUCAUCUCAGUAGUCGAAAUGCCAAAGAGGGAGAAACAGGUCCUAUCUACAUACAUUUGGCAGUAAACUCACAACAGGUAGAAAUUGUAAGAUGCCAUCACAUAAUUGCUUCACAGGAUAUUAAUAAUCUCUUACAACUGAGGGGACUCACUCACUCGAGAAUCAGAUUCCCACAAAUGAAAGAAUUAACAUAUAUGUUAUAUCACAUGAACAGUCGCACCAUGUCGGGUCGAUGUAUGAUUUGAUAAAACAUGCCUGCCUCCAGUUUGUGUAGAUUCUCAAAUCUCCUUUGUGGUUAACCAAUUUUCUAAAUGAUAGUAGCACAUUCUUUGAUGAAACAUCAGCAAAUUCCCACCAUUUUAAGAGUAAUCACAGUAUAUUUUCUAUUUGAAUUCUCAGAAACUGGAAGCAAAUCAAAUCAAACACCUGCACAAAUAGCUCCUGAUGACCAAGAUGAGCAGCAAAGCUUCCCUUCAUCUACAUGUUUGACGUCAAGCCCAAUAAACCAGGAUCCAGCACUUACAUCAUCAUGUGCAUAGGUGCGAAGAAGAGAUCUGUUUAUGGAUACAAAUUUAGCUAAAGCUCGUGAUAUGACAUACAUCUCACCUGAAGCAUGGCGAAAGUACGAUUUCUUAUCUCCAAACUUCCACCAAUCUGGUUCAUACCAUUUAUGACUAAGUUCAGAGAAAACUUCGCCUGAUUUCAUACAACCAAUAUAAACACGAGGCUUGUCCAAUUGAGUUGCCAGUGUAGCUCCAAGAGCAUCAAUAUUAACAUAUAUAUUGUCAUUGACUUUAGCAUAGAACUCAGCAUCCCAUUUAUCCACAGCAUGAGCAAAAAAUAGUUUAGCCUUAUUUGGAAAUCCCUCAUUUGCCUCCACAUGGUUAUCCUGUUAACAAAGAGGUCUAUAAUGAGCACAUAAUCGAGCUUUUAUAAUAAAAGGUUGCUUCCACAUCCCACUUUCCACUUUAUGCUUCUCUGUCUUUUAUUUAUUUUUUUAAUCAUAUUUUAUAUCUUGCUUUCUCUGUUUAAUAAUUCACCUACAAGUGUGAUUUGGCACCCUGUAACAGGCCUUCAAUGCUCCAUCAUUGCCAUUAAUUCAAAAGUACUAUCCAUAGGAUUUGUAAAAUUAGCAAGGACAAAAAAUAGAAAUAGCUAAUGUUAUUUUUUUCGAAAUCAUUACUGAUUUAUGAACAUACGAGAAUUAAGAAGUCAUUAGCAUGCUUAUUUUCAUUGUCAAUUUCCCUGUCCAAAUUGUCCCCACGAUUUGCACUUCUUCCAAUGACAAAACGUGAAACUAUGCCUUUCUCAUUCUCCAUUUUCUUCAAGGUUAUACCUGAAAGGAUGAAGGGUUGGCUUUGAUCCUCCAAAAACAAUACACAAAAAGAGAAAACUGCUUACUUCUAGAACACUGCAUGCUCCAUACAAAGAAUUAGGCACACAAAAUAAAUUAAAUUAACAAGAAUGAAGUGCAACAAAUGCAUGACAUUCAGGUUGGUAUAUCAAAGCAAAGAAACUACUAGUUUCAACAAGACAAAGAUCAAUUGAAUAAUUCAAUGACAAUAUUUAAUGCACGUUUUUUUACUAUGAGAAAAGGCAUCUGAGCAAUUACUUUCCAGAGAGUAUGCUAAGCUUUAAUUCUUAUGGGGGCAUCUAUCAGUUCCUUGUGAAUCAGUUUUUAAGUUCUCACUACUGAAGCUUCCCCUUUUGCUGCCAGAUGUAGCCCACAUCAUCUAUAAAUGCAGUACUUUUCAAACUUUGUGCACCAUUUGGUCCAUUUCUGGAAGAAUCCGUAUUCGGUAAUGUACCCCUAAUCACUAUACCAAGGAAAGGACUACUUUUAUCACCAUUUAGAUGCUUCCAAAAUAAUGCACAUAUAGUGAUCCAGCUUAAUAUGUUAGGCAAUCUGAGUACUUAAAGAAUGAUGUCAUCAAGUAAAUGGCAAUCUGGGUACUUCAAAGAAUAAUGUCAUCAAGUAAAUGGAAUGAUGAAUUUGUUAUUUCAACCUAAAACAAACAGACAUUCAAGGAACUAAGAAGAAUGAAAUUAUAGGAAUAUUUGGUACCCUACCAGUUCCCAUCCAUGCUUUACGGAUUGCAUUCCUAUUGUUCAUUCUGCCAAACCUUGUCAGUAUUCCUAUCACUACUAGAUGUCUUUUCUUUGAAUUUGUCCCAUCAUUCUGUGACAAGAAGUUUGAAGUAAAACCCUCCUGUUUAGCUGUAGCCAAUUCCAUCUCAAGGGCUGAUAACUUUUUCUGUUGCUCCCUGCAGGCUAUUAUUUUCAAUGUAUCAUCCACAGAUAUAGCAGAUUGUCCCUGUCCAGUUAUCCUGUCGAGCUCUUUAAUCAAAUAAACCCUGUUCUCCGAAUCUUGCCAUAACCUGCCAGCGACAUAAAUGGAAGCGAAAGUAGCGAACAUUGAGAACAAUAAAGUUGAUAUUCUUGAUCCAUACACUCUGCUAUUCGAUCCUUGACUACCUCUGGUAUGCAUCUUUUUAACUCUUUAUCACUAGAUCUUCAAUCCCUUCUCAAUGGAUUCAACGGGACUAUCAAAAUCGGAUAAACAGAACCCAGACUUUGAUUUGGAUUAAAAAUUCUUAUGCCUGGAGAGAGCAGAGACAGAUAGAGAAGAGAAGUGGGUGAGUCGCUGGCAUUGCAAAGUCGAUGCAGUUCUUGUAUUGGUCUAUUU